CAUAGAUUUAUUAUGAUAAAAUAGGCUUAGCUUAGAAUAUGAAUCAUCGCAUGGUGCGUUAGUGCGCAAUCAAUUUGUGGUAGAUUAAUUACAAUUCCACUUCCUAAUAUUACGUUAAGCCAAUUUUACCCGUAUUUAUGAACGAGGCAUUUACCACUUUACUUUCUUAGAAAUUACCUUAGUAGGCAUGGCAGAGAAAAAUAAACAACGACAUGAUAUUUUAGAGCUUGACGUUGACGCUUGGCCGGAGAAAUGGGAAAGAGAGUUUCCAUAUAUUAUACACGAUAAGAAAACAGGAACCGCAAUCUGCACGUAUGUUACUUACAUUUCUGAGUUCAUUAUAAGAAAAUUAGACAAUAUGGACCUUUGAUCGAAGAAUUCACAAACAAGGAGGCAGUAGUGAUGGAAUGGCAGAAUCUUCGUCAUGAUCUGCAUAUUCUCCAAUUACCGGCUAUGGAGAACAUAAGUUCUAAUCGGUAGCUACCAUUUGUAUUUAUUUGUCGUAUGCUUCUGAUCUCUCAUCCAACACACACGCACUUGGCUUCGAAGCAUAUGAAACCUAAUUUAAUAUAUGCAAAUAAAUUACAGGUAUGCAAGUACUUAGCGGCAGCGCCCGAGUACCCAGGCUUUCAAGUGCUGGACAAAGUCCUGGGGGGCCGAACGAGGGUUUUCUUCAAUAAACAUAAUUAAGACGAAACACAGGAAUAGGCUUAGCAGCAGACACCUAACAAUGCUUCUGAGAUGUGGCGGGGAGACAUCCAUAAAAGCAGACAAAGCGGAAUCAUUCUUCAUGGAUGUCUUGCAACAUUGGAAAGAUUCCAAGCUACGUCGCCACGAACGGGCUGCAGAAGCCACGCCAUCCAUUUUUAUUCGUUCGCUUUUGUAUUUUUAUUUGUGAAUAAAACAAAUGUGUGAACUGUG